rnacentral:rRNA from 1 species
GAUGAACGCUAGCUACAGGCUUAACACAUGCAAGUCGAGGGGAAACGAUAGAGAAAGCUUGCUUUUUCUAGGCGUCGACCGGCGCACGGGUGAGUAACGCGUAUCCAACCUGCCCACCACUUGGGGAUAACCUUGCGAAAGUAAGACUAAUACCCAAUGAUAUCUCUAGAAGACCUCUGGAAGGGAUUAAAGAUUUAUCGGUGAUGGAUGGGGAUGCGUCUGAUUAGCUUGUUGGCGGGGUAACGGCCCACCAAGGCGACGAUCAGUAGGGGUUCUGAGAGGAAGGUCCCCCACAUUGGAACUGAGACACGGUCCAAACUCCUACGGGAGGCAGCAGUGAGGAAUAUUGGUCAAUGGGCGAGAGCCUGAACCAGCCAAGUAGCGUGCAGGAUGACGGCCCUAUGGGUUGUAAACUGCUUUUAUAAGGGAAUAAAGUGAGUCUCGUGAGACUUUUUGCAUGUACCUUAUGAAUAAGGACCGGCUAAUUCCGUGCCAGCAGCCGCAGUAA